rnacentral:rRNA from 1 species
GACGAACGCUGGCGGCGUGCCUAAUACAUGCAAGUAGAACGCUGAAGGAGGAGCUUGCUCUUCUGGAUGAGUUGCGAACGGGUGAGUAACGCGUAGGUAACCUGCCUGGUAGCGGGGGAUAACUAUUGGAAACGAUAGCUAAUACCGCAUAAGAGUAGAUGUUGCAUGACAUUUGCUUAAAAGGUGCAAUUGCAUCACUACCAGAUGGACCUGCGUUGUAUUAGCUAGUUGGUGGGGUAACGGCUCACCAAGGCGACGAUACAUAGCCGACCUGAGAGGGUGAUCGGCCACACUGGGACUGAGACACGGCCAAGACUCCUACGGGAGGCAGCAGUAGGGAAUCUUCGGCAAUGGACGGAAGUCUGACCGAGCAACGCCGCGGGAGUGAAGAAGGUUUUCGGAUCGUAAAGCUCUGUUGUAAGAGAAGAACGAGUGUGAGAGUGGAAAGUUCACACUGUGACGGUAUCUUACCAGAAAGGGACGGCUAACUACGUG